AUUGAACGCUAGCGGGAUGCUUUACACAUGCAAGUCGAACGAGUGGCGGACGGGUGAGUAAUAUAUCGGAACGUGCCCAGUAGCGGGGGAUAAAUACUCGAAAGAGUGGCUAAUACCGCAUACUAUGGGAGCGGCCGAUAUCGGAUUAGCUAGUUGGUGGGGAAAAGGCUCACCAAGGCAACAAUCCGUAGCUGGUUUGAGAGUACGACCAGCCAAACUGGGACUGAGACACGGCCCAGACUCCUACGGGAGGCAGCAUGGGGGAAUUUUGGACAAUGGGGGAAACCCUGAUGCAGCCAUCCCGCGUGUAUGAGAAGGCCUUCGGGUUGUAAAGUACUUUUGGCAGAGAAGCGGUAUCUGCAGAAUAAGCACCGGCUAACUACGUGCCAGCAGCCGCGGUAAUUC
rnacentral:rRNA from 1 species